rnacentral:rRNA from 1 species
CAGCAGUGAGGAAUAUUGGUCAAUGGCCUAACGGCUGAACUGGCAACUUGGAGAAGUGGCAAGUCUUCCAGUAUGGGGAGCAAACAGCUAUGGGUCAAGCCCGAUACCUUUAAGAGAAGUCUUAUUGUGAGGGCGAGUUGUAAAACACCAUAGGGCUGGCCGUCCCAUAUGAAAAGAUUUUAUUAGAAUUGAAUGAAACUUUGUUUAUAUAUUGAUAAUGACAGUAUAUAUAUCGUGUCUUGACUAAUUGCGUGCCAGCAGUCGCGGUAAUACGUAAGAGACUAGUGUUAUUCAUCUUAAUUAGGUUUAAAGGGUACCCAGACGGUCAGUAUAGCUUAUAAAAUGUUAGUACCUGACUAGAGUUUUAUGUAAGAGGGCAGUACUUGAGGAGGAGAGAUGAAAUUUCGUGAUACCAAAGGGACUCUGUAAAGGCGAAGGCAGCCCUCUAUGUAAAAACUGACGUUGAAGGACGAAGGCACAGAGAACAAACAGGAUUAGAUACCCAAGUAGUCUUUGCAGUAAAUGAUGAAUGCCAUAGGUUAGAUAAAAAAUUUCUUAGGAGGUCGCCUCCUCAGACAAAAAAAAAUGGUGUUAUCAUUUUACUUAUUUUCUAAAUAAGGUUUGUUUUUAACUAUCUCCAGAAAUUUUUGUUUAUCUGGUCUAUAAAUGAAAGUGUAAGCAUUUCACCUCAAGAGUAAUGUGGCAACGCAGGAACUGAAAUCACUAGACCGUUUCUGACACCAGUAGUGAAGUAUGUUAUUUAAUUCGAUGAUCCGC